UACGGGGGGGGCAAGCGUUGUUCGGAAUUACUGGGCGUAAAGGGCUCGUAGGCGGCCAACUAAGUCAGACGUGAAAUCCCCUCGGCUUAACCGGGGGAACUGCGUCUGAUACUGGAUGGCUUGAGUUCGGGAGAGGGAUGCGGAAUUCCCGGUGUAGUGGUGAAAUGCGUAGAUAUCGGGAGGAACACCAGUGGCGAAGGCGACUACCUGGCCUGUUCUUGACGCUGAGGCGCGAAAAGCUAGGGGAGCAAACGGGGAUUAAGA
rnacentral:rRNA from 1 species